GAUGAACGCUGGCGGCGUGCCUAAUACAUGCAAGUCGAGCGAACAGAUAAGGAGCUUGCUCCUUUGACGUUAGCGGCGGACGGGUGAGUAACACGUGGGUAACCUACCUAUAAGACGGGGAUAACUUCGGGAAACCGGAGCUAAUACCGGAUAACAUUUGGAACCGCAUGGUUCUAAAGUGAAAGAUGGUUUUGCUAUCACUUAUAGAUGGACCCGCGCCGUAUUAGCUAGUUGGUAAGGUAACGGCCUACCAAGGCGACGAUACGUAGCCGACGUGAGAGGGUGAUAGGCGACCCGAGAACUGAGACACGGUCCAGACGCCUACGGGAGGCAGCAGUAGGGAACCUGCGGCAGUGGGCGAAAGUCUGACGGAGCAAGGGCGCGUGAGUGAUAAAGGCGUUCGGUGCGGAAAACUGUGUUAUUAGGGAAGAACAAAUGUGGAAGUAACUGUGCAGGUCUUGACGGUACCGAAUCAGAAAGCAACGGCUAACUACGUG
rnacentral:rRNA from 1 species